rnacentral:rRNA from 1 species
CCAAUAGCGUAUAUUAAAGUUGUUGCAGUUAAAAAGCUCGUAGUUGAAUUUCGGGAUCAAUCUUUCGGUCAUGCCGUUGGUAUGCACUGUUAUCAUUGAUUUCUCACCUUCUAAAGAACCGUAAUGCCAUUAAUUUGGUGUUACGGGGAAUUAGGACUGUUACCUUGAAAAAAUUAGAGUGUAUAAAGCAGGCUCACGCUUGAAUACAUUAGCAUGGAAUAAUGAAAUAGGACAUCCGAUUCUAUUUUGUUGGUUUCUAGGAUCGAUGUAAUGAUUAAUAGGGAUAGUUGGGGGCAUUAGUAUUCAAUUGUCAGAGGUGAAAUUCUUGGAUUUAUUGAAGACUAACUACUGCGAAAGCAUUUGCCAAGGAUGUUUUCAUUAAUCAAGAACGAAAGUUAGGGGAUCGAAGACGAUCAGAUACCGUCGUAGUCUUAACCAUAAACUAUGCCGACUAGGGAUCGGAUGAUGUUAAUUUUUUAAUGACUCAUUCGGCGCCUUACG